UGCAUCCUAACUGUAAAUUGAUGUUAAAUUCACGGACAGGAUGUGGUUUAUAGGGGGAGAGGGCUGGAACUUUCUGUAGCCACAGAGGCGUUUUAGUUUUCUGCAUAAAGAUAGGGGUUCGAGAAAAUUUACCCCUACAGCUACAACUCUACAAUGACGAAAAUUGGAAUAUACUCCUCAGCCUAAGAACUUCUGCAUUCAAUGCUUUCCUUCUCACCCUCUUGUUCUCUGUAGCGGGGGAAGAGGAGGUGGAAUGGUGGAUGCUGCUCUCAUCGUUGACCACAUUGUUCUAAGCAGCAGCACCACUUUCUCCAUACAUGCUCUACUUUCUUUUAGAGGUGUUUAUCAACACCAGAUUCUCAGAUUAGUUGUGUCACCUCUGUGUAUUACAAUAUAAACUUCUUAUCAAUGGAGUGGAAUAAAGAGCAUACAUCCAUGUCUGCUACUCUGAUUUUAAGUUGUGUAUAAUGCUGUCAAUGCAAGGAGUAUAACAUAAAGAAACUCCAAACACCCAACACUCCAUGCUUGUAUGGUCCAUUACAAAUGAACCCCUCUCUCUCUCUCUCUCCCACCUUUUUUGGAUUUUUUUUUUCUUUCUUUUAUUUGUUUGUCACUUUCAGCCUAUAGUGUAGUCUCAUAUGCAAUCUUAAUUAUUGAAGAAUAUUGAAACAAAAGGCACCAUAAGAGUAAUUAUAUGGAAGUUUUGAUCAAAAUCAGCAGAUUUGUUAACCAAAAACCUAAAAACCAUUGGUUAAACUUCAGCUCAUGUAAACAGAAAAACUUGUUUGCAUUUCUAAUAUCAAAAUUCUAGUUGUUUUCAGCUUAGCAGAGCUCAGAAGCUAGAUAUUUAAGUGCUUAAUUGUACUAGAGUCCAAAAGCCAUUUCACUACAAGGGACCACCUAUUGAGUAAAGGUGAGGGUGUAUAUCCAGUGAUUGAUUGAAUGAUCUGUAUUGAUGCUGGUAUAACAUGAAGGAGCACAUUAUGUAGCUUUGCUUGUGUCUUUCAUCUAUGUGCUGAUCCUUUACCCAUUGUUUAGAUUUGGUGAGAUCAUCAUAAAUUUUUCACUUUAAUUAUAUGACUGUAUUACAUGCAAAAGUUAUGCCAUUACUGUCAUUUCAGGGUAUAUACAUAGGCAUCUGAUUAAUGGUUUGACAUAAAUGUCCCAACAUAUUGUCAAGGAAACAAAUGCCAAAGACAGAAAAGCAUUUUGUGGCAUUGCUAUUGUUUUACUCCUGAUGUCUGCUUCUCUUUUGGCAGAACAUGUAUUGUGGGGAAAGUGUGAAAAAGCCAAGCUUACACAAUUUCAGAUGUAAUUCAUCAUUAAGUGGAAAAUAUGAACCCAGAGGGAAGGGGCUUAAUGUACAGUCAACUGGGAGAGUGGGCUGAGGGAAUGACUAAGCCACGUACUAUUACCACCCACUGUCCAUUCUCCUCCUUUAACCAUAAAAUUUGUACUUCCAUUCUUUUUGUUGGGGAUUGGGGGUGAGGGAAUGUUUGGAGAUAAAAUUUGUGAAUGAAUGAAGGUUAAGCGUUCUGUUCAUACUCUAUAUCUGUCACUACAAAACCAUCCAACUUCUCGAGUACUUGAAUACAUCUCAUGGGAAGGUCAGAUUGCUGGAGAACUAUGUAUACCCUAAUCAGGACUAAGCAGUUGGCUAACAAGUAUCAGCUGAGAUUCCAUUAAGUAGGUACUUUCCUUCGACUUCCUGAACCACCAUUGAUUCUCAUGAUUGUG